UGAAAGUUUGAUUUUGGUUUUAGUAUUUAUUUAAUGAUUAUUUUGCAUGUAAAUUUUUGUUAGAUUAAUAAUAUUUUUAAAUAAAUUAUUAUAUAAAUUUUAUUUGCAGCAAUUAAUUUUAAUAAUUAAAUAAUUUUAGAAUUAUUARUUAUUAUAAUAUAARCAAAUUUUGUGCCAGCAGYUGCGGUUAUACAAAUUAUAURAUUAAAUAAUUUAUUAAUUUAUAAUUUUAAWUUAAWAUUWAAAUUUAAAAAAAUUAAAAUUUAGGUGAAAUUUUUUUUAAAAAAUUAAAAAUUUUAUUAAAUUUAUUUAAAUUAUUAACUCUAAAAAUUAAACUAGGAUUAGAUACCCUAUUAUUUUAGAAUUAAAAUUAAAAUUUUAAGGAUUAAUAGUUAYAUUCUUUAAACUUAAAAAAAUUGGCGGUAUUUAAAUCUAAUUAGGGGAAUUUGUUUUUUAAUUGUUAAUACUCAAAAAACCUUACUUUAAUUAUUAAUUUGUUUAUUGUCGUUAUCAAAAUAUUUUAAUAGAAUAAUAAAUUUUUAAAAAUUUUUAUWUAAAAAUUUAUUUCAGAUCAUGAUGCAGUUUAUAUUAAAGUUAAAAUUAAUUACAAUAAAAUUUAUUUAUAUGGAUAUGAWAUUGAAAAAURUUUUAGAAGGUGGACUUAAUAGUAAAUUUAAUAAUUAUGUUAAUUUGAAUUUAGAAUUAAAUAUGUACAAAUUGCCCGUCACUCUCGUUUUAAAAUGAGGUAAGUCGUAACAAAGUAAGUGUAUUGGAAAAUGUGCUUAGUUAUUU
rnacentral:ncRNA from 1 species